CUGUGCUGUAAUUCCUCACAGCGAAGAAGACGCAUGAGCAAAAACAAUAACACAGCUAGCUAGUCUACUUCUACGAAAUACCCCGUAUUUAGCUCAAAAUUCACAUUGGAACACAUACAAGCAGAACGUGUCCGUGAGUGUUGUAAACAGAACUCUUCAUGGAGGUGAGCUCAGCGCCAUGUUGUGUUCUUCGCAGCAAUAACAUGCCUUCGUGGUUGUGACGCGUUACCUAGCUGUCCCGCUAGCUGCUCCCUGUCCGCGCUGUUUCUGUUUAAUGUCCCUGAUCCCCACUAACGCGCAGACAUGGAGAGUUUGUACAAGCGCAAAAUGUUCGCUUCCAUGCGGAAAACCAAGGUGGACGCAUCGAAGAAGAAGCAGAUCGGCCUGCCCGCCGCCAUCCUAGACGACAGUGACGAAGGCUCCUUCACAUCCUCGUCCUCCGGAUCCGCGUCUGACUUUCAGAGCUCCCCGGAAGAGGACAGCGAGCAGGAGGACCGGGGCCGAAGUGGCUCGGGGGCGACUUCCAGCGAUGACAGCCGCUCCGUCACCCGCAGAAAGCGCUCCUUUCUGGGAGGGGACAACAGCUCCUCGUCCUCCAGCCCCGGAGAGGAGGACACAACUAAUGAUGAGGAGGGGGACACGAGCCUGCCGAAGAGGAUGUCGCAGCCCAGGAAGCGGAUCCGGCUGCAGCAACAGGACGAGUCCGACUCGGACUGUGCGGAGGAGAAGCAGAGAGAGGAGGCGGAGAAGCUGAAAAGGAGGCAGAGACACAACAAGCUGCUGGCGCUGUCGCGGAGGAUGAAGGCCCGGGUCCCGAGCCGGAGGAGGAUCCGUCUCUCGCAGAGUGCAGACGAUGGGGAAGAGUCCAAAGAAGGUGAAAAUGAAGCUGGUGGUGACGAAGAAGGUGUAACAGAUAACGGCAAGAACAAACAGGCGGCAGAAGGAGGCAGAGAGGAGGAGAAAACCACAGAAGAAGAGAAAGACGACGAAGAAGAAGAAGAGGAGAAGGAGAAGCACAAGGGGAAGAAGUAGAAAGAAGAAAAGAAAUGGGGUUUGAUUGUGAAAAACAAAAAACCUAAACCAUCUGAAAGUGACUCAUUAACAUCAUUCACACCUGUUUAUAAUGAUACCACCCCCAUCGGACUCAUCUCUGGGGGUGGGGGGGCAAGUCAGCCUACAGGUGGGAGAUGGACCAUCUGGGGACCUGGUGCAGGGAACACGACCUGGAGCUCAAUACUCUCAAGACAGUGGAGAUAGUUGUGGAUUUCAGGAAGUAAGCAGCCCCCCCAUCACUCUGUGUGACUCCCCAGUCACUGCUGUGGAGUCCUUCCACUCUCUGGGCACCAUCAUCAGCCAGGACCUCAAGUGGGAGCAGAAACUCAGCUCCCUCACCAAAAAAGCCCAACAGAGGAUGUUCUUCCUGAGGCAGCUGAAGAAAUUCAACCUGCCAACGAUGAUGAUGGUGAGCUUCUAAUCUUCCAUCAGGGAGUCCAUCCCCACCUCCUCCAUCAGGGAGUCCGUCCUCACCUCCAUCAUGGAGUCCAUCCUCACCUCCUCCAUCACCAUCUGGUACGCUGCAGCUAUAGCCAAAUAAUAAUAAUAAUACAUUUUAUUGGUAUUGCACUUUUCAUUUCAGCAAUCUCAAAGUGCUACAGAGCAGGAAAAAAAACUUAGUUAAAAUGAGAACCUAUAAAAGACAUUUAGCAAAAUGCUUUUUUAGAAACCAAGGACAAGGGCAGGCUGCAGUGUAUCAUCGCUCUGCAGAGAGGGUGAUCGGCUGCAGUCUGCCCUCCGUCUACGACCUGCCCGGAAGAUUGUGGCCGUCCCUUCCCACCCUGGACACAAACUGUACCCCGCUCCCCUCUUGCAGAAGGCUGCACUCCGUUGGGACCAAAACCUCUCUCCACCUGACAGCUUCAUCAAGGCCUCAUCAACAAGGCCCUGGACCCCCACUGACACCCUCCGCCACAUCAUAGACUCUAUGCGUCCCAUUAGUGCACACAAUGUAACAAUAUUUUUUUGCAUAUCCUAAUUUUAAGAGGUGUACAUUUAUUGGCAGUGUUUUUAUUUUUGUUUUAUUUUCAUGUAUGUUUAUGUAUGCAACAAAAACACCCUGACAAAUUCCUCGUAUGUUUUAACCUACUUAGCAAUAAACCUGUUUGUGAUUCUGAUUCUAAGUAGCUAAAAGAGCAAGACAUUAGAUAAUGCAAUAACAGCUUCUUCAGUUUAAGUAUCGCGUUUAAGUUCCGGAUAAAUCUCCCUCUGAUUUUCAUGUUAAAAUCUGUAUUUCAACCUUUAAAUAAAUCAAUGUAUCAAGUGAGAGCCUUUAAA